rnacentral:rRNA from 1 species
UACAGAGGUCUCAAGCGUUGUUCGGAUUCAUUGGGCGUAAAGGGUGUGUAGGUGGCGCGCUAAGUCGGGUGUGAAAUUUCGGAGCUUAACUCCGAAACUGCAUUCGAUACUGGCGUGCUUGAGGACUGGAGAGGAGACUGGAAUUCAUGGUGUAGCAGUGAAAUGCGUAGAGAUCAUGAGGAAGACCAGUGGCGAAGGCGGCCAACUGGCCCGAUACUGACGCUGAGGCGCGAAAGCGUGGGGAGCAAACAGG